AUUGAACGCUGGCGGAAUGCUUUACACAUGCAAGUCGAACGGCAGCACGGACUUCGGUCUGGUGGCGAGUGGCGAACGGGUGAGUAACAUAUCGGAACGUAUCCAAUAAUGGGGGAUAACGAGUCGAAAGAUUCGCUAAUACCGCAUACGCCCUACGGGGGAAAGCUGGGGACCUUCGGGCCUGGCGUUAAUGGAGCGGCCGAUAUCUGAUUAGCUAGUUGGUGAGGUAAAGGCUCACCAAGGCGACGAUCAGUAGCUGGUCUGAGAGGACGACCAGACACACUGGAACUGAGACACGGUCCAGACUCCUACGGGAGGCAGCAGUGGGGAAUUUUGGACAAUGUGCGCAAGCCUGAUCCAGCCAUUCCGCGUGAGUGAAGAAGGCCUUCGGGUUGUAAAGCUCUUUCGCAAGGGAAGAAAACUUAGCCACUAACAUUGGUUGAGGUUGACGGUACCUUGAUAAGAAGCACCGGCUAACUACGUGCCAGCCGCCGCCGUAA
rnacentral:rRNA from 1 species